rnacentral:lncRNA from 1 species
CCUGUCUCCCUCCUACUUUCAGGGGCUGUUGGCUUUGUUGUCAUGCUAUCAGAGGGCAUGGAGUCAUGAAGACACCUCCAGGGAAGCAGGGAGAGGCACGUGGGCUUAGAUCCAGGUCUGGGGAAGGAAGACAUGCCUAUCCUUUUACAUAGAGACCCAGGAACACAGCCGCUACCACUGAUCCUCCCUCCCUCACCAUCCACUUCACAGGCUCAGAGAGGACCGGGGUUUAUCUAGGGUCACAGUGCCAAUGAGCAAGAGUGGGUUGCUAUGGGCAUUGUUGUGGGUGUGUGCCACGCCACUGCUAGGCAAAUGGAUUUUGUCUUGUCUUCGUUUUUUGGAGACAGGAUUUCUCAGUGACAUCCUGGCUGUCCUGGAACUUGCUCUGUAGACCAGGCUGGCGUCCAACUCAGAGAUCUGGGAUUAAUGGUGUCUACCACCACUGGCUUCCUGCGAAGUUUGACUACCAGCUUCCGGAGAGGAUGGCUCCCAGUGUCCUGAAAGGGAACCUUCCUGGGGUAAUUACCUUCUGUUUGCUUGCACUCCUGAAAGAAUGGGCUUGUGUUUGCCAUGUUGCAAGAGGACCCUUCUGUGAUGCUGAGCUCCAGGUCUCUGUGGUCCAGAGGAUCCAGGAGGCUGUGUCAGGCCCAGGGCAGAAGGCCUUAUUGGAGGUGCUGGAGUCCCCGAGAGGCACAGGGGAAGAGGGGACUCUGAGCAAAAGACCAAGAAGCCUCCAUCUUCCUUGCUGCACUCCAGCCACAGCAGGAACAGGGCCCAGCACCUGCUCUGCAGACCCAGGUCUCCUCUCCAUCAGUUCACAUCCUCAGCCUCCUCUAAGGCUCUGAAAUGACUUAUGCCCAAGACCCAGACUCUGUCAUUUUAGAUGGAAGCAGCAGUGACAGUUUUUUCCUGGAGGAUGCCAGAUCUGGUGAGUGAGAACUGACCAUUAGGGUUUCCAGUCCUCUGAGAGCAGUGACUCCAGUUAGAACCCUAGAAUUUGCUGGAAUAGUGAUACUUGCAUCAUGGGUACUGUCUUAGUUAGGGUUUCCAUUGCUGUGAAGAGACACCAUGACCAAGGCAACUAUUAUAAGGGACAGUAUUUAAUUGGAGCUGGUUCAGAGGUUCAGUUCAUAAUCAUUAUGGCAGCAUCAAGGUAGACAGCUGGAGAAGGAGCUGAGGUUCAUCUUGAUUCAACUGCAGCCAGGAGAGA